GCCCAAUUUCGCACGUGCCUGUGGCCGCGUGUCGGUUGGUGGGCAUCCGGUCAACUGCCGGACAGCCGCCAGGGGUCUUAAAGGAUCGAUGGUCGCAAGGGUGGAUCCCUACGGCCGGCAUCCAGGUGGCAACACCGGACCCCGACAACAACCGGCAGCCGGAGGCGAAACCGGCGAACCCCGCUCUCCACGGGGGACGCAGCUUAAAGCAACGACGAACGGGCUUUU
rfam:Methylobacterium radiotolerans JCM 2831, complete genome.